GUGCUCCGCCUGGUUCAUCACUAGAGUAGGAAAUAUCUGCUUUCAAACCGUCUGUGUAUACGGACAAUACUUUUGACUAUUGACCUCAAAUCAG
rnacentral:rRNA from 1 species